rnacentral:lncRNA from 10 species
AGCCGGGCGCGGUGGCACAUGCCUGUAAUCCCAGCUAUUUGGGAGGCUGAGGCAGGAGAAUCGCUUAUACCUGGGAGACGGAGGUUGCAGUGAGCUGAGAUGGCGCCAUUGCACUCCAGCUUGGCAACAGAGCGAGACUCCGUCUCAAAAACAAACAAACAGCAAAAACAAGCCAAGCAGCCCUCAAAUGCUCAUAGCACAGUCUGCAUUACUCCUCUAAAGUCAACGUCAGGCUCUGAAUGUGCUCCUUAAGGCAGCCCCACGAGCACAGGUGCACCAGGUCCCAACAUUUGGAACCGUGCCAGUUGACUCAUCUCUUUGGUGACACUUCUUCCCAACUGUGUGUAACUGAGCUUGGGCCAGGCCAGCUAAUGUCUGUGACUGUCUCCUAAUUUGGAAUUUUUUCUGCUUUAUAAUGAGUGUGGCCCAAUCAUACUCUACUGUCAAUGAUUCCAGAACUCAGCUGGAUGCGAAAUUGGAGCCCAUCAGAAACAGGAAAGACAGCCUCACGUGCAGUCCUCUGGAUUGAAGAAUGGGAAGCAUUGGGGAAAAAAGUCUGAUCAAGAAUGUUUCAAAGAUUUCAAAGACCAGCAUUUCCUUGGCACCUACCAUGUGCCAGACACUGGGCUAUGAGCCCUGGGUUAUUACAGUGAUGAUACAAUAGGUUGCUGUCACUGCUAGACCUUUGUCAUCAGAGGGCUUCCUGUGCUCAGGGGACAGCACUCUCCAGAUCCUGGCUCGCUGCCACAGUUGUCACUCUGAGUGGAGGAGAACGGACGCGGCCCUCAGAAGGCAAGCUGCUGCCCGAAGGACCUGAGUCUGCCGGACUCCACCUGGAGCCAGAACCACGAUCCUCUUCAUAACAUGAGGCCUUUUAUGGCUCUAUCUGCUCCCCACUGUCUGGGCCCAGUGGUAGCAGAGGGGUUGACAAGGACUCCACAUGCAUGGCACUGAACUUCUCCAUCAGAGUAGCCCCCUCCAAAACCACAAACACACACCGCACAAGUCACAUGUGUUUAAACACAGGAGUCACCACAGCUUUGGUGAAAACUGGGGGCUACCAGCUUGCAGAUAAGCUGUUGAAUUCUACCUUAGGAUGACACAGCUGAUAUCGCCCCCAGAGCACUGAUGGGACAGGUAUGGCAGACAGCUGGACCUGGGCACGGGGGAGCCACAGACCCCAGGAUCUUGGGGAGAAGAUCCAUGAGCUGGGAUUCCCCAUAUUUAAAAUACCUGAUAGAAUGGCUGGGCAUAGUGGCUCACACCUGUAAUCCCGGCACUUUGGGAGGCCGAGGUGGGUGGACCACUUGAGGUCAGGAGUUCAAGACCAGCCUGGCCCACAUGGGAAAACUCCGUCUCUACUAAAAAUACAAAAAUUAGCCAGGUGUGGUGGCAUGUGUCUGUAAUCCCAGCUACUCGGGAGGCCGAGGCAGGAGAAUCGCUUGAACCUUGGAGAUGGAGGUAGCAAUGAACCGAGAUUGCGACACUGCACUCCAGCCUGAGAGACAGAGUGAGACUCUGUCUCAAAAAAACAAAACAAAACAAAAAACCCCCCAAAACAAACCUGCACAUGUACCCCUUG